UUUUAUAAAAAGAUUUAAAGGACGCAGUAACCUGACUGUGGUAAUGUAGCAUAUUCACUCGCCAUUUAAUUGAUGGAUAGUAUGAAUGGUUUAACGAAUUUUUCACUGUCUUAAAAAGAGAUAUCAUGAAAUUAAAAUAAUAGUUAAGAUGCUAUUUAAAAUUGUAAGACGAAAAGACCCUAUAGAGCUUAACUACAGAUUUUUUAAACAAAAAAGAUAAAUUCUUAAAAUAGAAAGUUAGGUAGUUUAGUUGGGGCGACUAUCUUCUAAAAAAAACGAAGAUAAGCAAUGUUAAUAAAAAACUUAUUGUAUAAUUAAUAAAUUUAACAAUUACAAAAGUAGGCUAUAAUGACCCGUUAUUAAAAAGUAAAAUUUAUAACGAUCAAUAAAUAAAAGCUACCUUAGGGAUAACAGGAUAAUUUUGUUCUAGAGAUCAUAUCGAAAACAAAGUUUGUCACCUCUAUGUUGAAUUAAGAUAUCCUGAUAAUGCAGAAGUUAUCAAAGG
rnacentral:rRNA from 1 species